rnacentral:rRNA from 1 species
AGUUUGAUCCUGGACUCAGGAUGAACGCUAGCUACAGGCUUAACACAUGCAAGUCGAGGGGCAGCAUGGGAGUUGCUUGCAAUUCCUGAUGGCGACCGGCGCACGGGUGAGUAACGCGUAUCCAACCUUCCCUUAGUAGGGCAUAGCCCGUAGAAAUGCGGAUUAAUACCCUAUGUUGUUCGUAGAUGACAUCAGAAAUGAACCAAAGACUUGUCGCUAAGGGAUGGGGAUGCGUCUGAUUAGGUAGUCGGCGGGGUAACGGCCCACCGAGCCGUCGAUCAGUAGGGGUUCUGAGAGGAAGGUCCCCCACAUUGGAACUGAGACACGGUCCAAACUCCUACGGGAGGCAGCAGUGAGGAAUAUUGGGCAAUGGGGGCAACCCUGACCCAGCCAUGCCGCGUGAGGGAAUGAGGCCCUACGGGUCGUGAACCUCUUUUAUUCGGGGACAAGGACGCGCACGAGAUGCGCGUUUGAGGGUACCGAAGAAAUAAGCGUCGGCUAACUCCGUGCC